AUUGAACGCUGGCGGCAGGCCUAACACAUGCAAGUCGAACGUGUGGCGGACGGGUGAGUAAUGUCAGGGAAACUGCCCGACGGAGGGGGAUAACCACUGGAAACGGCAGCUAAUACCGCAUCCCAUCGGAUGUGCCCAGAUGGGAUUAGCUUGUAGGUGAGGUAACGGCUCACCUGGGCGACGAUCUCUAGCUGGUCUGAGAGGAUGACCAGACACACUGGGACUGAGACACGGUCCAGACUCCUACGGGAGGCAGCAGUGGGGAAUAUUGCGCAGUGGGCGCAAGCCUGAUGCAGCCAUGCCGCGUGUAUGAAGAAGGCCUUCGGGUUGUAAAGUCCUUUCAGCGGGGAGGCGGUACCCGCAGAAAAAGCACCGGGUAACUCCGUGCCAGCAGCCGCGGUAAUAC
rnacentral:rRNA from 1 species